rnacentral:rRNA from 1 species
CCUACGGGAGGCUGCAGUAGGGAAUCUUCCACAAUGGGCGAGAGCCUGAUGGAGCAACGCCGCGUGGGUGAAGAAGGUCUUCGGAUCGUAAAACCCUGUUGUUAGAGAAGAAAGUGCGUGAGAGUAACUGUUCACGUUUCGACGGUAUCUAACCAGAAAGCCACGGCUAACUACGUGCCCGCAGCCGCGGUAAUACGUAGGUGGCAAGCGUUAUCCGGAUUGAUUGGGCGUAAAGGGAACGCAGGUGGUCUUUUAAGUCUGAUGUGAAAGCCUGCGGCUUAACCGGAGUAGUGCAUUGGAAACUGGGAGACUUGAGUGCAGAUGAGGAGGGUGGAACUCCAUGUGUAGCGGUGAAAUGCGUAGAUAUAUCGAAGAACUCCAGUGGCGAAAGCGGCUCUCUAAUCUGUAACUGACGCUGAGGUUCGAAAGCGUGGGUAGCAAACAGGAUUAGAUACCCGUGUAGUC